GACGAACGCUGGCGGCGCGCCUAACACAUGCAAGUCGAACGGAGCUGAGAGAAGCUUUCUUUUCUUAGCUUAGUGGCUAACGUGUGAGUAACGCGUGAGUAACCUGCCCUUGAGUGGUGGACAACAGUUGGAAACGACUGCUAAUACCGCAUAAGCCCACGAUCCGUCAUCGGAUUGAGGGAAAAUGAUUUAUUCGCUUCAGGAUGGACUCGCGUCCAAUUAGCUAGUUGGUGAGGUAACUGCCCACCAAGGCGACGAUUGGUAGACGGACUGAGAGGUUGAACGGGCAGAUGGGGACUGAGACACGGACCAGAAUCCUACGGGAGGGAGCAGGGGGGGAUAUUGCAAAAUGGGGGAAACCCUGAUGAAGCGACGACGCGUGGAGGAAGAAGGUUUUCGGAUAGUAAACUCCUGUAGUUAGGGACGAUAAUGACGGUACCUAACAAGAAAGCACCGGCUAACUACGUG
rnacentral:rRNA from 1 species